rnacentral:rRNA from 1 species
UAGAGGCCUACCAUGGUGGUAACGGGUAACGGGGUGUUAGGGCACGACACCGGAGAGGGAGCCUGAGAAGCGGCUACCACAUCCAAGGAUGGCAGCAGGCGCGCAAAUUACCCAAUCCCGACACGGGGAGGUAGUGACAAUAAAUAACAAUACGGGGUUCUUUCGGAUCUCGUAAUUGGAAUGAGUACAAUUUAAAUCUCUUAACGAGGAACAAUUGGAGGGCAAGUCUGGUGCCAGCAGCCGCGGUAAUUCCAGCUCCAAUAGCGUAUAUUAAAGUUGUUGCAGUUAAAAAGCUCGUAGUUGAAUUUCGGGGUUAGUAGGUUGGUCAUGCCUCUGGUAUGUACUGGUCUCACUGAUUCCUCCUUCCUUAUGAACCGUAAUGCCAUUAAUUUGGUGUUGCGGGGAAUUUGGACUGUUACUUUGAAAAAAUUAGAGUGUUUAAAGCAAGCUAACGCUUGAAUACAUUAGCAUGGAAUAAUGAAAUAGGACGUUCGAUCUUAUUUUGUUGGUUUCUAGGAUUGACGUAAUGAUUAAUAGGGAUAGUUGGGGGCAUUAGUAUUCAAUUGUCAGAGGUGAAAUUCUUGGAUUUAUUGAAGACUAACUACUGCGAAAGCAUUUGCCAAGGAUGUUUUCAUUAAUCAAGAACGAAAGUUAGGGGAUCGAAGACGAUCAGAUACCGUCGUAGUCUUAACCAUAAACUAUGCCGACUAGGGAUCGGAUGA